UACGUAGGGUGCAAGCGUUAAUCGGAAUUACUGGGCGUAAAGCGUGCGCAGGCGGUGAUGUAAGACAGGUGUGAAAUCCCCGGGCUUAACCUGGGAACUGCAUUUGUGACUGCAUCGCUAGAGUGUGUCAGAGGGGGGUAGAAUUCCACGUGUAGCAGUGAAAUGCGUAGAGAUGUGGAGGAAUACCGAUGGCGAAGGCAGCCCCCUGGGAUAACACUGACGCUCAUGCACGAAAGCGUGGGGAGCAAACAGG
rnacentral:rRNA from 1 species